AGCUUUGCGCAGUGGCAGUAUCGUAGCCAAUGAGGUUUAUCCAAGGCGUGAUUAUUGCUAAUUGAAAACAUAGUGAGAUGGGAACUGCUGUUGACCACCUAUUUUCUUCAGUAUCUGUGUAAUUCCAACUGUGAA
ensembl:snRNA U4 U4 spliceosomal RNA